GGUGCCGUAGCCAAGUGGUAAGGCAGGGGUCUGCAAAACCCCCAUGCGCGGGUUCGAAUCUCGCCGGCACCUCCA
rnacentral:tRNA from 2 species